CUUUAGGUAUCGCUCGCUCGCUCGCCAGCCCGAUCCCGGUGUCGCUAGCUCGUUCUCCUUUUUCGUCAGCUUGGGAUCGGGGUUAGGUGUCGGGGCGCGGGGAGUGAGGAGGGAGGGAGCAGACGGCGGUGAGGGAGGGUGGAGGAGGAGGAUACGGGAUCCUCGGGGCGGCGGAUGACGAUGAGGAGGUGGCGGAGCGGAGAAGGAGGAGGAAUGGACGGGUAGCGAGCAGAAGUCCGACGUCACCACCAAGGGCUAGACUCGGCAGAAGUCCACGCACCUCGCUGCCUCCAGCCGAGGGAGGAAGAGGUGCCAGAGCGCCGCCCUCUCCUCAGUCGGGGCCACGAGACGGAGAGGUAGGCAGAGGCGUUCGGUAGCAGGCUACGGCAGCAACGGGCGGUAGUAGAACGAGCGACGCACGAACGAUCUCUCGGUACCGAAAGGAGUGACAUCCAAGACGGUACCGAAAAGAACAGGGCAGAGUGAGCGGAGGGGGAGGAGCAGUGGGAGGAGAGAGAGAGAGGGGGCGCCGAUGCUAAGUCCGAUCCCAAGUCCGCGGAAGGGAAGAGAGGAGGAGAUGGGUUGCGGCGGAGGGGAGGAAAGAGAGGAAGAGGUGAUUGCUCCGGCCCCGCCGCCGCGCCUGUUCUUUGACACCCGAGAGGAGGCGUUUAGAGAUGGCCCUGCUGCCAUCGGGCUCCUCCUAGGGGCCAGUUGCCGCGGGGCCCGCGAGUGACGGUUCUUCGGCGGCCUCCUCCUUGAGCUGGACCUGCUGGCGGCGACCUGCUUCUCGGGGCUUUUUUAGGGGGUUGGUGGGGACGCGGUGGCGGAGAAGUGGAAGCUGGUGCCCAACGUUGCCAGUCUCCUGGUUCAACCUCGUAUGAUCCGUUUACCCGGAAUGGCACUCAGCACCACGUUGUCACUGGAGCUACCCGUCCCGUUACCAGUCUAUGCUCAGUCGUGGUUUCUACUGAUAUUCGUGAGUUUUUUCAAAUGGUGCGAUCCCGCUACAGUCCAACAUGCUCCCAUCAAUCACUUAUAUGAACACUGUGAAUAUGAGAGUCGUUACGGCUGUUUGUACCAAAUACUACUAUAACCACCAGACUUCGAAAUCUAGCAGCCCCGACGAGAGUAAGCAAGUUAAACGGUCACUAGGGAAGGUAAGAUGACAACGAGUAAUAAUAGUAUACUUCCUCCACAAGAAGGUAAUGUUAUGAGGACUGCACAAAGUACUUUACAGAUACUCGACCAUACAACAAGUAAGAGAAAAAAAAAGAACGUCCGACUAGAUACAAGAGACAAACAACCCAGGAGGCACAGUAAUACUUGUUCCUUGUACAUAUAGGAAAGUUCAAGUGACUACACCAAUGGUGAUGUUGUGUGCAGGGAGGUUCCUGGUUCCCACCCGUACUAGAAGAUGUUCAAAAUCCACUACAUGCAGCACUUCGCCCUGCCCGCCUGCCUCUGCCACGUGAAGCUGUUCUAGUGCCACGCCGAUUUCUUCGAGUCGAUACCCGAGUCGGUCCUCGUGGCGCUGGGGCACGAGCCAGACGCAGUCCCAUAUGUACCCACAGUGGUGGUCGGUCGAGCUGCUCGAGCGGCGGCUCUGGCGGCGGGGCGAGUGGCGGAGGGUCGGUCUGAUACGGAGGGAACGCCGCUCCUAACAACACAGGUUGGACGGCGGUUCACCUUUAUCAGACACACCGCGAGCAUUUAUCUCUCGUAAAACCAUCUUUCUACUUAUAAUCGCUCUGACCGAUUUAAGACUUGUACAAGGUACACUCUCUUUAUCGUACAACUAAAGUAGAACUUUAUUAGUAUCGACUCCCUGCUCGAAUCAUUGACUCCCAGUACACAUUUCGACUUCCUUCUUCAACGCUCCGAACCUUGAGAGGAACACUUCCCGAGUCCCCGUCGUCACUCCUGUUACGGAGAAAUCAACAUUAACACUAUGAGGACUAAACGUUCAUUUGUGAGUACACUAUGAUUUAUAACCAACAAUCAUGUUUCCACCACUGUAAUCAACCAAGGGACCAUAACUAAAGUACUAAACACCAAUUAUGUACUACAUUAUGUUAGGUGUGACGUAAUAUAAAGGUCAAUGUAGAGAAUGAAUGAGU
rnacentral:rRNA from 1 species